UGACCCCAGGUCAAGCGAGAUCACCCGCUAAGUUUAAGCAUAUUAAUAAGCAGAGGAAAAGAAACUUACUAGAAUUCCUCUAGUAACGGUGAACGAAUCGAGAAGAGCUCAGCUUGAGAAUCUGGCACCCCCGGCAUCUGAAUUGUAGUAUAGAGAAACGUCCUUAGCGACGGACUAGGUUUAAGCCCCAGGAAAGGGGCAUCGAAGAAGGUGAAAGCCCCGUUGUACCCGGACCCUGUUGCACUAUGAGGCACUGUCCGCGAGUUGGGUUGUUUGGGAAUGCAGCCCUAAUCGGGUGGUAAAUUCCAUCCAAGGCUGAAUACGAGCGAGUGAAAGUAAACAAGUACUACGAGGGAAAGAUGAAAAGGAGUUUGAAAAAAGAGUCAAAGAGGGCUUGACAUUGUCGAGAGGGAAGCGGAUGGUGGCCGACGAUGCUCCCCGAUCGAAUGUGGAAUGACGAGAGUCGAUCCAUCGAUCAACUUGGGGUGUAGAUUGAUGCAGGUCACGGUGGUGACCCAAGCCCGAGCUUUCAAAAUGUCCACGAAGAUGUUGUUACUGCAAUCUUGGAAUGCAGCACACGUCGUCUCGGCCUACCUUAGCACCUGCGUGCUCUCGACGUCUGCCAGUGGGCUCCCCAUUCAGCCUGUCUUGAAACACAGACCAAAGAGUCUGACAUGUGUGCGAAUCAACGAGCUAGAAAACCUGUAAGGUGUAAGGAAGCUAAUUGACGGGAUCCCUCACGAGUGCACCGCCAAUCGACCUUGAUCUUCUGAGAAGGGUUCGAGUGUGAGCAUGCUCGUCGAGACCCAAAAAAUGGUGAACUAUGCCUGAGCGGGGCAAAGCCAGAGGAAACUUUGGUGGAGGCCCACAGCGAUACUAACGUGCAAAACGUUCAUCUGACUUGGGUAUAGAGGCAAAAGACUAAUCGAACCGUCUAGUAGCUGGUUCCUUCUAAAGUUUCCCUCAGGAUAGUUGGAGCCCCCAGUGAGUUCUAUAAGGUAAAGCCAAUGAUUAGAGGCAUCGGGGGCGCAAUGCCCUCGACCUAUUCUCAAACUUUAAAUAGGUAGGACAAUGCAGCUACUUCGUUGAGCCGUGCCAUGAAAUCAAGAGCUCUAAGUGGGCUAUUUUUGGUAAGCAGAACUGGCGAUACGGGAUGAACUGAAAGUCGGGUUAUGGUGCCUAACUGUGUGCUAACCCAGAACCCACAAAGGGUGUUGGUCGAUUAAGAUAACAAGACGGUGGUCAUGGAAGUCAAAAUCCGUUAAGGAGUGUGUAACAACUCACCUGUCGAAUCAACUAGCCUCGAAAAUGGAUGGCGCUUAAGGGCGUGACCUAUACCCGAUCAUCAAGGUAAGGGUCAGGCUCCGAUGAGCAUGAAAGCAUGACGGUCACAGUAAAACUCAAGGCGUGAGCCCUGAUCGAGCGACCAUUGGUGCAGAUCUUAGUGGUAGUAGCAAAUAUUCAAAUAAGAACUUUGAUGGUCGAAGAGGGGAAAGGUUUUGUGUGAACAACACCUGCACAUGGGUUAGUCAAUCCUAAGAGACGGGGGAAGCCCAUCCGACAGCGCAUCCUAUGUGAGCUUCGAAAAUGAAUCAGGUUAAAAUUCCUAAAUCAGGAUGCGGUGGUGACGGCAACAUUAGGGAGUCCAGAGACAUCGAUGGGGGCCUCAAGAAGAGUUAUCUUUUCUGUUUAACAGCUUACCCACCCUAGAAACGGCUCAGUCAAAGGUAGGGUCCCGCUAUCGAAAGAGCAUCGCAUGUCAUGUGGUGUCCGGUGCGCCCCCGACAGCCCUUGAAAAUUUGAAGGAUAGAAGAGCUGUCCAUACCCGAUCAUACUCAUAACCGCAUCAGGUUUCCAAGGUGAACAGUCUCUGGUCGAUGGAACAAUGUAGGCAAGGGAAGUCGGCAAAAUGGAUCCGUAACCUCAAGAAAAGGAUUGGCUCUGAAGGUUGGGCAUGGGGGUCCCAGUCCUAAACUCGUUGGCUAUCGGUACACUGCUCGAGCUAUUCUUGCAGAGAGAGCAGGUCACCAUGUGCCAGCCAGGGGACAGAUUGGGAAUAGCUCCCUCAGGGGCCUUCCCCGGGUGAUGAACAGUCGACUCAAAACUAGUACAGACAAAGGGAAUCCAAUUAUUUAAUUAAAACAAAGCAUUGUUAUGGUCCCUAUGGCUGCUCACACAAUGUGAUUUCUGCCCAGUGCUCUGAAUGUCAAAGUGAAGAAAUUCAACCAACCACGGGUAAAUGACGAGAGUAACUAUGACUCUGUUAGGGUAGCUAAAUGCCUCGUCAUCUAAUUAGUGACGCACAUGAAUGGAUUAACGAGAUUUCCACUGUCUCUAUCUACUACCUAACGAAACCACAGCCAAGAGAAUGGGCUUGGCAGAAUCAGCGGGGAAAGAAAACCCUAUUGAGCUUGACUGUAGUCUGACUUUGUGAAAUGACUUGAGAGGUGUAGGAUAAGUAGGAGCCCCCAGGUGAAAUUGAAAUAUCACUACUUUUAAUAUUAUUUUACUUAUUCCGUGAAUCAGAGGUGAGGCAUGACCCCUUCUUUUGGACCUAAGGUUGGCCUUGACCGAUCGAUCUAGGUGAAAGACAUUGUUAGGUGGGGAGUUUGGUUGGGGUGGCACAUCUAUUAAAAGAUAACGCAGGUGUCCUAAGAUGAGCUCAACGAGAACAAAAAUCUUGUGUGGAACAAAAGGGUAAAAGCUCAUUUGAUUUUGAUUUCCAGUACGAAUAGGAACCAUGAAAGCAUGGCCUAUCGAUCCUUUAGACCUUCGGGAUUUGAAGCUAGAGGUGUCAGAAAAGUUACUAUAGGGAUAACUGGCUUGUGGCAGCCAAGUGUUCAUAGUGACAUUACUUUUUGAUCCUUCGAUGUCGGCUCUUCCUAUCAUUGUGAAGUAGAAUUCACCAAGUGUUGGAUUGCUCACCCACCAAUAGGGAAUGUGAGCUGGGUUUAGACCAUCGUGAGAAAGGUUAGUUUUACCCUACUGAUGGUGGCGUUGCGAUAGUAAUUCAACCUAGUACAAAAGGAAUCGUUGAUUCGUACAAGUGGUCAUCGCGCUUAGUUGAAAAGCCAGUGGCGCGAAGCUACCGUGUGCUAAAUUAUGAUUAAACACCUCUAAGUCAAAAUUCGAGCUAGAAGUGAUGCGUGCUUUUGCCACUCAAUUAUCGACCCACAGUAAGGGCCCAUGAGCCCUAAGGGUACGUGUCAUAGGUGCAGCCCCCAUGGCAGAUGAGCCAUAGGGGGCUUCCUUGGAGCUCAAUUCU
rnacentral:rRNA from 1 species